rnacentral:rRNA from 1 species
CGGUAAUACCAGCUCUCCGAGUGGUAGGGAUGAUUAUUGGGCUUAAAGCGUCCGUAGCCGGCUUAGCAAGUCUUCUGUUAAAUUCACCGACUCAAUCGUUGAACUGCGGGAGAUACUGCUAGGCUAGGAGGCGGGAGAGGCCGACGGUAUUCUCGGGGUAGGGGUGAAAUCCUAUAAUCCCGGGAGGACCACCAGUGGCGAAGGCGGUCGGCUAGAACGCGCUCGACGGUGAGGGACGAAAGCUGGGGGAGCGAACCGGAUUAGAUACCCGGGUAGUCCCAGCUGUAAACGAUGCGGGCUAGGUGUUGGGGCGGCUACGUGCCACUUCAGUGCCGCAGGGAAGCCAUUAAGCCCGCCGCCUGGGGAGUACGGCCGCAAGGCUGAAACUUAAAGGAAUUGGCG